GCCCGGGUAACUCAGUCGGUAGAGUAUGUGGCUCUUAACCACAAAGUCCAGGGUUCGAGCCCCUGUCUGGGCG